GAUGAACGCUGGCGGCGUGCCUAAUACAUGCAAGUCGAGCGAACAGACGAGGAGCUUGCUCCUCUGACGUUAGCGGCGGACGGGUGAGUAACACGUGGAUAACCUACCUAUAAGACUGGGAUAACUUCGGGAAACCGGAGCUAAUACCGGAUAAUAUAUUGAACCGCAUGGUUCAAUAGUGAAAGACGGUUUUGCUGUCACUUAUAGAUGGAUCCGCGCCGCAUUAGCUAGUUGGUAAGGUAACGGCUUACCAAGGAAACGAUGCGUAGCCGACCUGCGAGGGUGAUCGGCCACACUGGAACUGAGACACGGUCCAGACUCCUACGGGAGGCAGCAGUAGGGAAUCUUCCGCAAUGGGCGAAAGCCUGACGGAGCAACGCCGCGUGAGUGAUGAAGGUCUUCGGAUCGUAAAACUCUGUUAUUAGGGAAGAACAAAUGUGUAAGUAACUAUGCACGUCUUGACGGUACCUAAUCAGAAAGCCACGGCUAACUACGUG
rnacentral:rRNA from 1 species